UUUGCCUACUUUAAUCGAGACAACGUAGCUCUUAAGGGUCUUGCAAGGUUUUUCCAGGAAUCAAGCGAAGAGGAAAGAGAGCACGCGGAGAAGUUGAUGGAGUAUCAGAACAAACGUGGUGGGAAAGUGAAACUGCAAUCCAUUCAGAUGCCAUUGUCCGAGUUUGAUCACGUUGAGAAAGGAGAUGCAUUGUAUGCAAUGGAGCUUGCGCUGUCUUUGGAGAAGUUGACAAACGAAAAACUUCUGAACUUGCAUGCCGU